AUUCUCUCAGCAUAUUGAGGAGUCGUGCUCCCGGUGCUCAGUCAGUGAAGACAACGACCACCUGUUUCCUGCUUGCUCUUUCUCAAGGGCAGUUUGGUUCUCCUUUUUUCUCUUGAGAGCUGAUGCUUUCCCAGUUGAUGGCCAUGCAAAGUAAUCUCAGAUUGCAGCCAUCUUUCAGCACAAUGCCCAGCCAUACCAUCUCCGAGCGGUCUUUACCACGCUUUGUAUUCUCCGGAAGGCACGAAAUGAACAUGGAUUCAAACGAAAGGUAUGGACUAUUUCGCAGGUACACCAUUCUGUCCAAGCACUACUUCAAGGCAGUCACAUAGCUCAGGUUGGAGGGCCCACUCCGAUGAUACUUGAGGCAAUUCCACACCCCGCAGGUGAAUGAUGCCAUAGGCCCUCAUGCGCUGACCCUCAGCUACUCAGCUUGCAACGGUAGUGAUCAAAAGUCAAAACUCCAGCUACAAGAAUGCAUCUACCUCUCUGACUGUCAGCAGAUGGCGGACACACUACAUGAUCUCCAGAACAGCUAUGCCACCUUGCUCAUUAGCAUCCGCGACCUUCAGUCGCAGAGAUUGUAUCAGUGACUCGAAAUCGGAGCUGUGAAUUUCGCAAGAUCCCAAGAACCCUCAACAAGAUAGAUCACAGGUUCGCUAAACAAGCUCGUCAGUCAGUCUCCUAACCAUGUAAUUUUACCUGCACCAACCAGAGUCACUCUGAUGCUUGUACGGUGCCUAGAGCACUAGAAAACAUUGCAGGGGGACUUUACCCUCGAAUCUAUACUGCUCUUAAUCUUACUAAGUAUUAAUAUAUGAUUCCUCAAAAGAAGGCGGAGAAUA